GAUCCUAGCUCAGGACGAACGCUGGCGGCGUGCUUAACACAUGCAAGUCGAACGAGAAUCUACUGAAAGAGUUUUCGGACAAUGGAUGUAGAGGAAAGUGGCGGACGGGUGAGUAACGCGUGAGGAACCUGCCUUGAAGAGGGGGACAACAGUUGGAAACGACUGCUAAUACCGCAUGACGCAUAGAGGUCGCAUGAUCUUUAUGCCAAAGAUUUAUCGCUUCAAGAUGGCCUCGCG
rnacentral:rRNA from 1 species